rnacentral:rRNA from 1 species
UACAGAGGUCUCAAGCGUUGUUCGGAUUCAUUGGGCGUAAAGAGCUCGUAGGCGGUCUGUUGCGUCUGUUGUGAAAACCCGGGGCUUAACCCCUGGCUUGCAGUGGAUACGGACAGACUAGAGGUAGGUAGGGGAGAAUGGAAUUCCCGGUGUAGCGGUGAAAUGCGCAGAUAUCGGGAGGAACACCGGUGGCGAAGGCGGUUCUCUGGGCCUUACCUGACGCUGAGGAGCGAAAGCGUGGGGAGCGAACAGG